UACUUAGUAUUUGGAUUUAGAGAGAGGGAGGGGUAUGCGAGGCUUGUUAUGUACUGCAACCCAGUAUUGGAAUUUAGAGAGAAGGAGGGGUUGUGAGACUCAUUAUGGGCUACUUAGUAUUGCAAUUUAGAGAGAGGGAGGGGUUGUGAGACUCGUGGUGUUACCCAAAAUUUGGAUUUAAUGAGGGGAGGGGUUGUGAGACUCGCAGGACAACCCAGUAUUGGGAUUGAGAGAGUGGGAUGGGUUUUGAGACUUAUUAUAUGCUAUACAGUAUUAGGAUCUAGAGUGGGAGGGGUUGUUAGACUAUGAGCUAUCCAGUAUUGGGAUUUUGAGAAGGGGGAGGGGAUUGUGAGAUUUGGUACAUUCUAACCAGUAUUGCAAUUGAAAGAGUUUACAUUCUACUUAGUAUUGGGAUUUAGAGAGAGGGAGGGGUUGUGAGACUCAUUACAUGCUACCCAGUGUUGAGAUUUAAUGAGGGGGAUGGGUUGUGAGACUAGUUAUGUGCUACCCAGUAUUUGGAUUUCUAGAGUAGGAGGGGUUGUGAGACUUGUUAUGUGCUACCCAGUAUUGGGAUUUAGAGAGUGGGAGGGGUUGUGAGACUUGUUAUGUGCUACCCAGUAUUGAGAUUUAGAGAGUAGGGAUGGGUCUGUGACACUCAUUAUGUGCUACCCAUUAUUGGGAUUAAGAGAGUGGUAAGAGCUGUGAGACUCGUUACAUGCUACCCUUGCAAACUUGCCAUUUUUCACUGUGGAAAUUGUGUAAUUCACUUAACUUUUAAGGGUUGAAGCCUGAAUCAGUGAGAUGACAUGUUUAUGUACUGAAAUUUUCUUGGAUGCUAAAUCGGUGUGUGCAUGGUUAUAUUGUUUUUUAUGGGAUUCAUGUGUUCUUGAAAAUUUUUAGUAAGCAUGAAUAUGUUGCCUUUCUGAUAUGGGUUGAGGCUUAAUCCUUAUUCAAACCAUCAUAAAAUGGAGGAUAUAACAUACCCCUAAAGUAGGUCACAAUGACUUCUCUAAAUGGCUCCUAUUGCUGUUUUUUCAUUUGGGUCAUAUUUUCAACUGAAAGCCCUAUCCAUUGAAGAAUUUUGAGGAGUGUACAAGUAUAUAAAUAUUAACUUAUAGAAAGCAUAGUAAUACCUACCUGUACGUAACAAUGACUUAUUUUGCCAUCAGAUAUUAUUAUAGCGAGGUAUUUUUUGAUCUUGGACUGUUGAUGAAUUUGAGGAUACUUAAGAAUUCUAAUGGGCUAGCUGAUUGAUGCACAUAUUGAAUUCAUUACAUAUAUGCUAGCUUAUCUAUGAAUAAUGUUUAAUUUGUUCAUCAUUGUGCAAUGAUCUGUAUCACUACUAAUUCUUAAGAUAAUUGAUGAAUGAAUCAUUUGAUCUAGAUGAAGUUGGGACAAAAUGUAAAUAUAGGUCACAGUGACCUUCAAGAAUACAGGUACCAUAGUCAUCCUUUCUCCCCCGCAGAAUAAAAAAAUUGUUGAAUCAGUAGAUAGAAGAUAACACAAAUUAGGGGGGGUGGAAACUUUAUAUAGUGACUAUUUAUUGUAAUUUGUUCAGAAAGAGUGAAGUAUUAGUAAUGAAUGUGUUUUAUUACUGUGUACAGUGGUUAGUCACACUCCCUUAAAUCUCAGCAGUAUUUCCUCAUGGAUGGAGGGUUGGUAGGAGAUGUUGGAUACAAGGUUUAAUAUUUAGCACAGCCAAUAUGGAGGGAGGUUUGUGUGGGGAUGUGGGGUACAAUAUGUAUGUAACACAGCCAAUAUGGAGGGAGGUUUGUGUGGGGAUGUGGGGUACAAUAUGUAUGUAACACAGCCAAUAUGGAGGGAGGUUUGUGCGGGGAUGUGGGGUACAAUAUGUAUCACAGCCAAUAUGGAGGGAGGUUUGUGAGGGGAUGUGGUGUACAAUAUGUAUGUAGCACAGUCAAUAUGGAGGGAGGGUUGUGAGGAGAUGUGGUGUACAAUAUGUAUGUAGCAUUGCUAAUAUGGAGGGAGGCUUGUGAGGGGGUGUGGGGUACAAUAUGUAUGUAGCACAGCCAAUAUGGAGGGAGGGUUGUGAGGGGAUGUGGGAUAUAAUAUGUAAUAUUUAGCACAGCCAAUAUGGAGGGAGGGCUGCGUGGGAAUGUGGGAUAUAAUAUGUAAUAUUUAGCACAGCCAAUAUGGAGGUAGGAUUGUAUGUAUGUAGCACAGUCAAUAUAGAGGGAGGGUUGUGAGGGGAUGUGGGAUACAUUUUAAUGUCCAGCACAGCAUCCUUAUGCCCAUUGAUAAAUUGGAGCUAAAGCUUAAAUCCUUCCACAUUGAAACACAAUUCAUACUAUUAAUCAAAUUCAAUGUGAUUUUAAAAAACAGCCAGAUAACUGCAUGUUUAGCAAAUUUUUUGUAUUUGAUUCACUACUCUUAGGGAAGAUUGGGGCAUAUUUAUAUAGAGAGGAUGGAAGCAUUACAAUAUUUCUAUGUAUUAUUAUAUUACCUCAUAUCUCAAUAGUAUGCCUCAAUAGAUUACAUAUUUGUUUUCAUUGUGAUGAUAGUGGAUGC